UGGGGAAUCUUCCGCAAUGGGCGAAAGCCUGACGGAGCAAUGCCGCGUGGAGGUAGAAGGCCCACGGGUCGUAAACUCCUUUUCUCGGAGAAGAAGCAGUGACGGUAUCCGAAGAAUAAGCAUCGGCUAACUCUGUGCCAGCAGCCGCGGUAAGACAGGGGAUGCAAGCGUUAUCCGGAAUGAUUGGGCGUAAAGCGUCUGUAGGUGGCUCCUUAAGUCCGCUGUCAAAUCCCAGGGCUCAACCCUGGACAGGCGGUGGAAACUACUAAGCUGGAGUACGGUAGGGGCAGGGGGAAUUUCCGGUGGAGCGGUGAAAUGCGUAGAGAUCGGAAAGAACACCAAAGGCGAAGGCACCCUGCUGGGCCGACACUGACACUGAGAGACGAAAGCUAGGGGAGCGAAUGGG
rnacentral:rRNA from 1 species